UCAGGAAGCGACAGAAACGAAAAAAGGUCCGUUUUUUCAUUUUCUGAGACCGGAAGUGGUCAUCAGCAAGUGUGGAGCCAAACGACAACAACAUUCUCAGAGGGCGGAGCCAGAGAGCAGUGAGUGGUCAGACCAUAGAUAAUAUAGAAGACAGCGCGCUAGUAUCAUCUAUGGUCAGCACGUCUGGUAGCGUCUCUGGCUGCUGUUGACCUUGUUUUUGGAGUAAAACACGGUGGAAGCUGAAUUAGUGAGGAUGACUCCUGCUCCUGUCAUCUCUAAGCUCCUCACACAUCUUUACCUGCACAUGAGGAAAAUCACUCCUGUAGAAUGCAGAUGUUCAGAAGGAGAUGAUGCCGCAUCUGGUCCAGCUGAUGGAAGGUCUUGAAGUUCUCUGACUGGCCUGGACUGAAGAUGAAAACUGUGAUGGUGUUGGAUUGUCAGACCGUAAUGUUGCAGCUCAAAGCAGCUUUUCUAGCUCAGUUCAUUCUGACAUUCAGCUAUGAAUCAACACAGCAGAUGGUGAUCCAUGCUGUGGAAGUCUCACAUCUCCUGAUUUAAUGGAGCUGCUUUGCACUUUUUACACUGUUUAUUCACCAACACUUUAUUUAAUAAAAGUCCCAUCUAGUUUUCAUGAGGAAUGUGAUGUUUUAAUUUCUCUGUGAAUAACUGCAGUCUAAUGCAACAGCUGGAAUUGUAACAUCUGUCCUGAUAUUGAUCAUGAAGUAUUGAUCAGAAUACUUAUGGUUAGCAGUCAUCCCUGAAGUUUUACAUUAAAAUCUUUACUUGUGUUGUGAACUUUGGUAAGAAGCAGAAACGUUAGCGUUGCCAUGGAUACAUGAGUGUUAAAUUCUGUCCAUGUUUCCAUUUUGGGAAAUGUAGUCCAGUUCCAGAAUGUGGAGGAAUUUAGUCUCACAAUCACAGACAACAAAUAUUAUCUGAAAGUCAGGUUAUUGUUGUUUAUCAGCACAAUACACAAAGAUUAAUGUUAGAAAUAUUCCAGUUAAUACUCUAGAAUAGCAGGAUUUAUGUAAAUUUACCUCAAUAAUAUGAAUGUUCAGGUUAAGAUUGUUCAGUGAUAUUUAUUAUGCAAGUUUAGCUGAUUAAAGUUUAUGACUCUGCACUAAAAUAUUAUUUAAAUUGACAUCAUUAUUAUAAUAUUUAGGGUCAGACCCUACAGUAUUGAGAUUAAGAAAUCAAAUAUUCUAUAAAAUGUAAAUACACUGAAUUCAUUUGGAUAUAUUUAAGUGAGACUCUACAAUAUUAUUUGACACAAAUCUAUCUAAAUCAAAAUUUUAAUAAUUUUCACACCAAACAUUUACUGGACUGAUUUAAAUAUUAAAAUCACUCCUUUCUAAUCCUCUGCUGUACGUUCAAACCUGAGGCCUUAAAUAGAAACACACAAGUAUCUGAUUGAAGGAACUUCUGCAGAGUCCUGGUUCCAGAAUAUGAUGAUAGAAUUAUAGACAAACUUUAACAAAAGCUGCCUGAGAGUUUACAGGUUUUUAUGUUAGAUUUCUUCAGUAAUUUAAUGAGAAUUAUCAGCAAAAAUCAAGUGUUCAUUUGAUGAACUUCAUUUCCUAAAACAUCCAGAAUUGGAGCUCAUGUCUUUGGCAGCUGUAAAGUUUCUGCUCCUUCAAAGCUCACAACACAAUGAAUGAAUUCCUAAAACAUUCAAUGCUGGAGAGCGUUUGUGAUGCUGAAGCAGUGAUCAGUUUUUCUGUUUCUUCUCUGGAGAUGCACAAUGAGGGACGUCUGCAGCAACUGAGAAAGAGUCUUACCACAUCCUGACAUGAGGAAAAAGACUUUAUUGAAGACUGCAAUGAGAAAAACUAUCAGACAGCAGACGGCUGCAUUCAAGUCUGUAGCUGCUGAAUUCAUGGAUGAAUCAUCUGGCACUAGAGAGGAAGACCAUCAAACAUCCACGUCAGCCGAUGGAGGUCCAACAGUCUCACCGAACAACCAACCUACAGAGUGAAGACCUUGAAUCUGAUUGGACGGCCUCCUAUUCAGCCACAUGCUGUUAGAUUGUUCCAGAUAAGACAAGUACAAGAUUCUUCAGAGCCGUUCUACCACGAGCCUGACAGGAAGAACUCCAACAGCUACUGAAUGUUCCUGUGGUUCCCUCAAGGCUACAGGAGUCCUACGAGGACGAGCCGGUCCACCUGACGGUGGC